CAAAAAGUUAGCCUGGCGAGGGGAGGAUGAUGAGAUUUCCCCUGUUGUCACAUAAACAAGGAAGUAAAGGGGGCCCCUUGUGCUCUCAGAACUCCAAGCAUGAAACGAUUUUCUGCCAUUUCAGUUCCUGUUAUCGUGCUUUGAGGUGCACUGAACUGCAGCAAACCCAGGGGAUCCAAGGCUACGUUGAAAAGCCUUUGACCACAGUGCAGGGAGCAGAAGACAUUAAUGACGUGAUGUCGACACAGCCCGCACUCAGGAUCCUCCAGGAAAAGAACACAGAGAUAACCCCGGAUCGAUGGUACUUUUUGAAAAUGCUUUAUUGCAAAAGAGUGGCUAGGGUUUUACAAGGGCUAUGAAGAAACAUAUUAAGGUUAAUAAAGCUUUUUAUUGAGUGUUUA
rnacentral:lncRNA from 1 species